GAUAGUUAUACAAUUAUUUCUAAGGAACCAGAACUAAUUGAAGAGCAAUGAAAUAAAGGGAAUAUUAUAACAGAAUUCUUUGUUAUUGCUAAAAACAUGGGACUUUUCUUUUCUGUAUAAAGAAGUAAUACAAAUAUAGUUCAAGUUUCUUUGUUCUAAGGCACAUUUCGGAAACUUCCACAAAACCACGAUGAAAGAAACUACUUCGCCUGAGAGUUCGAUACACGUGAGGAAAAAAACUCUUUUGGGGAAACCUUUUAUUUGAAAGCUCCAGAGAGAAAGAUUUCUCCAUUCAUCGAGAAGUAACAAACAAAAAAGGAGAAAAAACAGGAAAAAGGAUAUCUUAUAUAUAUUUUAACCUUGUGUAAAACAAAGAUAGGAGUUUAGAUAUUCUACUGAUGCUUCUGGUGUUUAUAUGAGACUCUAAAGCUCCAAAAUUGUGUUUUUAACGCUGAAAGAUUAUUACUGUUUUCAAAGAAAUAUCUUGCAAUCUCGAUAUCAAAUAUAAGGUUCAAGGUGAAGGAAAAUAGCAAACAGUCGUUUCUAUUCAGUAAAUUUGAAAUGUUUGUACGUUAUUUAAAAGGCCUAAAGCAUAAAGGAAAUAAUUAGAAGCUGUUCUUCAGAACGUAGAAGAUAUCAGUUGAUUACAAUAUAUUGCCACAUUCUUUCUAAAGCCAGAAAAAUAAUUCUGUAGCAACUGUUUGUGGGUUCCUGCUAACUUUAUGAUGACAGUUGCCAAGGUGUUACGUUUGUCCUAAAUGGCGACUUAUCAUCAGAAUUCCGAGAACUCAGAAACGAAUUAAACCUCUAGUGUGAUGUCACGAGCUCAGCACGUACGCAUCCCAAUGCGGGAAGAGCAUAAAAGGGACGAGCGCACCAAAAAACAGAGUUUUCCCUUUCCUGACAAAGCUGUUCUUCCUUGAAACCAGUUACAUCCUGGAAGCUAGGUGUAACAACGACAAUCAGAUAGAGUCCAUCAAUCAUGGUGUGUUUUCGCUUAGGAAGAGCUCUUUUGAAGAGACCGGAUGCCCAAUAGUUCUUAAGCAAAACAUCAGAGGACUUCACAGAAAUACGUGAAAAAGUUUGGACCACAGAAUCUAAAACCUAAAGUAAAAAAAUCUGGAACUUCCAAAAUAAAAUUCUCCGUUCCGUCACCAACUCGAUUUGAUUCGUGAGCAAUUUACGCAUUCAUAUCGUUCGAUCUUGACCAUUUGCAUGCUCAAGACACAUUCUAACAAGUUCUCAAUUUUAAAAGGUUUUUCUCCAAAGUGAUGAACUCAAAUUUCUCUUAUAUUGCCAAACAGGCAAAUUAUGGUCCCACAGUUGAACAACCAUUCAAAAGACCUC